rnacentral:rRNA from 1 species
UGCCUACGGGGGGCAGCAGUGGGGAAUAUUGCACAAUGGGGGAAACCCUGAUGCAGCAACGCCGCGUGAAGGAAGACGGCUUUCGGAUUGUAAACUUCUGUUCUUAGUGAAGAAGAAUGACGGUAGCUAAGGAGCAAGCCACGGCUAACUACGCGCCAGCAGCCGCGGUAAUACGCAGGUGGCAAGCGUUGUCCGGAAUUACUGGGUGUAAAGGGAGCGCAGGCGGGAAGCCAAGCCAGCUGUGAAAACUACGGGCUUUACUUGUAGACUGCAGUUGAGACUGGGUUGUUU